AGCUUUCAGGAGCGUUGCAAAAGCGAGACUUAUUUCCCAAUAAUGAAUGUGAUCAUAAUGUGUACCUAAAAUGUACCAAUAAACUUAAUGAAUUUAAAAAGCAGGAUUUCAAACGAUACGGAGGUUGGUUUUAUUGGGUGUAUAAGGGACAGGGAAGAGACCAGGGUUACCCUGACAUUUCAAGUCUGUACAGCUGGUGGCCCAUGAUAGGAUGUCAGGUAUAUUCAACAGGUAGUGUAGGAGAGGGGUUGGAACGCGGAAGACAGCGGAGGAAAAUGUACG
rnacentral:lncRNA from 1 species